rnacentral:rRNA from 1 species
UACAGAGACCUCAAGCGUUAUCCGGAAUCAUUGGGCGUAAAGCGUACCGAUCGGGGGUUUAGAAAGUCAGAAGUGAAAUCUCUCAGCUUAACUGGGAGACUGUCUUUUGAAACUUCUAAGCUCGAGGGACAAAGAGGAAGCCGGAACGAACGGUGUAGUAGUGAAAUGCGUAGAUAUAGGGAAGAACACCAAUAAAGGCGAAGGCAGUUAACUAUUCUAUUCCUGACAUUGAGGCAUGAAAGCGUGGGGAGCAAAACGG